UACGUAGGUGGCAAGCGUUGUCCGGAUUUAUUGGGUUUAAAGGGUGCGUAGGCGGCCCCGUAAGUCAGUGCUGAAAUAUCCCGGCUUAACCGGGAGGGUGGCAUUGAUACUGCGAGGCUUGAGUAAAGUUGAGGUAGGCGGAAUUGACGGUGUAGCGGUGAAAUGCGCAGAUAAUCGGGAAGAAUAUCCGUGGCGGAAGGCGGCUCUCUGGUACGGCGACUGACGCUGAGACGCGAAAAGCGUGGGGGAGCGAACAGG
rnacentral:rRNA from 1 species